rnacentral:lncRNA from 1 species
CCGGCCCGGGCCGCGUGGACUGGAGGAGGGACGCCGGUGCGGGGCGGCCGGGCGCCCCCUGGCGGUGCACCGCGGCAUUGCCCCGGGCUUCCCACCCCACCCUCCUCACCACCGUGGGGUCUGCGUGGAUGGGCUUCCCGGAGGGAGGAGGUCAGAGGCCCGAGAUCCAUUCGGGCUCGGGACGCUUUCCUUAGCUUCCGAACCGGAGUGAGCAUUGUGAGUCUCUAAUGUGUGCCAGGUGCUGCGUGAGGCAGUCCAGUGGCUGUGACAACAUGGAAGCACACAGCACAGGGACGGGCACACAGGCUGGGACCCACUAGAGGACAGGGUCAAAAUGUGGCUUACCUCUGAGUGUCCAGAGCCAGCAGGGAGCCUGGCACAAGAGGAGAAGAUGGAGGCAGACGAUUGUCACUUGUCUUGCAGAGGUCACUGCUGGUUGGUGGCACUACCUGGAUGCUGUCCCAUCAUGGCGGUGGGACAGCAGCACAGGCUCUCUUAAGCACUCAUUGACUGCCUACGCAUGCUAAGACUCUGUAAAUUGUGGCACCCAUCAGUCACUCCUGGUAGAAUCCGGGCCUCCAGCACUUCUGGCUCAAGAUGCGCCAUGGGACCCACACCUCUGCCUCCUGUCUCCUAUCCUGACACACCACCGAAACCAAAGGAGAAAAGUUAAGUUAAACAAAGAAU